CAGAUUCGUUGAAAUCUCAUCAAUUUUUCCAAAAAGUCGAUUGGCAUCGCGUUGAACUGCGGGAGUACGCCCCGCCCAUUAUACCAGGCUGUGUGAAGCCGUCGAUUGUUGACAAGAAUCUGCCCAGUUUGAGCAGCCCAGACCUGGAGCUAUCAGACGGUAAGCCGGACAUUUUCCGUGACUUUGGUCUGUCUGUGACGGAGCAAUGGACGGAUGAGAUGGUGGAGUCUGUGUACCAUGAGAUGAACGCACGGGCCGACAGCGCAGAGAGUGUGUCAAAGUCCCCUGGUAGCCACACUACAC